rnacentral:rRNA from 1 species
AUACGUAGGGUGCGAGCGUUAAUCGGAAUUACUGGGCGUAAAGGGUGCGCAGGCGGUUUUAUAAGCCAGAUGUGAAAUCCCCGGGCUCAACCUGGGAACUGCAUUUGGGACUGUAAGACUAGAGUACGGCAGAGGGGGGUAGAAUUCCACGUGUAGCAGUGAAAUGCGUAGAUAUGUGGAGGAAUACCGAUGGCGAAGGCAGCCCCCUGGGUCGAUACUGACGCUCAGGCACGAAAGCGUGGGGAGCAAACAGGAUUAGAUACCCGAGUAGUCC